rnacentral:rRNA from 1 species
AGCAGUCGCCGCGGGAAUACAGAGGGUGCGAGCGUUAAUCGGAUUUACUGGGCGUAAAGCGUGCGUAGGCGGCUUUUUAAGUCGGAUGUGAAAUCCCUGAGCUUAACUUAGGAAUUGCAUUCGAUACUGGGAAGCUAGAGUAUGGGAGAGGAUGGUAGAAUUCCAGGUGUAGCGGUGAAAUGCGUAGAGAUCUGGAGGAAUACCGAUGGCGAAGGCAGCCAUCUGGCCUAAUACUGACGCUGAGGUACGAAAGCAUGGGGAGCAAACAGGAUUAGAUACCCCUGUAGUCCCUGUCUCUUAUUU